UACGUAGGUGGCGAGCGUUGUCCGGAAUUAUUGGGCGUAAAGCGCGCGUAGGCGGGUUGGUCCGUCUGUUGUAAAAGUGCGGGGCUCAACCCCGUACGGUCAAUGGAAACUGCUAUUCUUGAGUGCAGGAGAGGAGAGUGGAAUUCCCAGUGUAGCGGUGAAAUGCGUAGAUAUUGGGAGGAACACCAGUGGCGAAGGCGGCUCUCUGGACUGUGUCUGACGCUGAGGCGCGAAAGCAAGGGGAGCGAACGGG
rnacentral:rRNA from 1 species